AUACAUAAACUGCUAAGCAAAAUCAAAAUUGGAGUUUGAGUCACGACACAACAGAUGAAGGAUCUGAGCCGCAAUUACUGGAACUGGACACAGUAGUAUUUUUUCAGUGCAUUUUAGCUGUUAGGCAAAAAAGUUGUCGAAUGGAGAUGAUUUUAAGGGAGAAGGACGCAAAUGAGUGGGUUUACCGAGGCGAAGGAGCUGCCAAUCUUGUUCUCGCAUACACCGGAUCAUCUCCUACGUUUAUUGGGAAAGUGAUGCGCAUUCGUAAGUGUCCAAGGAAUGGCGCAGAGGGUAUGUGUAUGAGGAGCCCCUCUGCUUUGACUGCGCUCGAACGCCUCCUCUGGAAAGACGUUGAUGAACUCAUUUCAUCUUCGGACAAUGAAAUUGCAUGCCAAUUAUUUGCCCACCACGUUAUGAAGCCAUUGCUUGGUCCCAAAUAUGUUGAUGCUGGGAUGCUUGUUGAGGUGCCAAGGGAAUUUCUCGAAUUGGUUGAAAAGAAUGUUAUUCGUCAACGUCCUGCUUGGAGAGUUGAUAAUGCUCGGGUCGACAUGCAUCGUGGUUCUGUGCUUCUCAUGUCUGAUCAUUCAGUCUUCACUCAUGGUAAUCUAGGAUCUAGCCCCUGCAUAUCUGUUGAGAUAAAGCCCAAAUGUGGAUUUAUUCCUCUUUCAAGAUUCAUAUCUGAAGGAACUGCUAUCAAAAGGAGGAUAACUCGCUUUCAAAUGCACCAAGCUCUGAAAUUGCAUCAAGGAGAGAUAUCAUUGCUAAGUAAAUACAAUCCACUUGAUCUGUUCUCUGGAUCAAAGGAAAGAAUUUAUAAAGCUAUCAAGGAUCUCUUCACUACACCUCAAAACAAUUUUCGUGUAUUUAUGAAUGGCUCUCUCAUAUUUGGUGGUCUGGGAGGUGGUGCAGAAGAUACAAACUUUGGUAUUGCUAAAGCAUUUGAAAAUGCACUUAAGUCUGUCAUUCAAGCUGAUAAUGGUCUGUGUACAGAGAACUUGCUUACUCUUGUUGCUGAGGCUGUAAAAAAAUCGGGAGUCCUUGAUCGGCUCCUGGAUGUUCAGAAGCUUGAUAAUGUUGACAUAGAAGGAGCCAUCCAUGCUUAUUAUGACAUUACCCGUCAACAGUGCAUAAUAUGUAGAGAAUUGAGUGAAGAGCAACUGAAAAGAUAUACCUCUUUGCAUUCAGCUUCGUUGGAUGAAAGCUUGAGAAUUGUAAAGGACUACUUAAUAGCAGCAACUGCAAAAGACUGCAGUUUUAUGAUAUGUUUUAGACAAAGGAAAGCAGGGGAUUCUGGAUCUGGAUCUAUUUGCAGUAACAUAUAUCUUGAGUCAACUAAGCAAACCUUUGACUUCAAGGUGUAUUUCAUUGACUUGGAUUUGAAGCGAAUGAGUAAAAUGGAAGAAUAUUAUGAAUUAGAUAAGAAGAUAGUGAGCUGCUAUGAAGAAAUGAUCAAAAUGGACCAAGGAAUAAAUUCACAAACUUGCAAGCCUCUUAAACUGCGUACUGAGUUUUAGCAGGAUUUGUUACAGUUACAGAUGACACUUGAGGAAGAUUGCAUUGUUGUAACAGAACAUGUGCUUGAUUUUUACCUUCUUCUCUUGAAAGAUAUAGGGGUCACCAAGCUGGACUCUGUUUUGGAAAAUUUAAUUGUGUAAUGCUGCAAACAGUACUCAGAAUUUGGCAAAACAAAGCCUAUUUUAGAGACCGUGACUUCAGCACAGAUCUGGUUUUUCCUUUGGUCAGUCUAGUUUUGCCAUGGCUUGACUGAUGAUCUGUGUGUACCAUACAUUGAGCUCAUGAGCUAUUUCAAGGUUUUUCCCCUCUCUCUGUCUCCAAGGCUCACACUUUUUAUUUGUUUUUUGUCUUAAGUUUGAGUAGUAGUACAAAGGGACAUGUGAAGGUUGGAUUCACAGAAGUGGUCAUGCUUUCACUAGUAUGCUGGCUUAUGUAUUGCAGAAAACUCUAUAGUGUCAGUAAAACUGCUCCGUUCAAGGUGCAGUCAAAAGCAACUUGUAAAGGCAUUAAUUCCAUUGACCUCAAACGGGUCCAAGAUCAUGGUAACAGUGACUAGCGAAGCCAAUGCAGUGAGGAUCAUCAAGGAAAAAAAAUCAGCAGGAAUUGAGUAGAGGUGCUGCCGGGGAAAAGAUGAUGGAAAGGUGCUUUCGUGUUACAGAUGCAAUGUAUGGUAUGUGAUUGCUGAAGAUGGUCAUAGACUUAUAGUUACUGUCCCAUUAUGUAAUUAACACUCUAAUCGAUGUGCUUGUUGUACCAUUAUCAAUCAUUUUGCCAAGCAAAAUAAUGUCUAUGUUAAUUGGUAGUAUUUUUUUAUAUUCUAACGUGAUUUCAUAAAUAUUUUAAUUAGAAUACACUAACAGUAUACUGGUUUUUCC